rnacentral:lncRNA from 1 species
AUGGCGGCCGCUCAAACGCCGGCCCGCCCUUGGGGCCUCCGAGGGCCUGAGAAGGCGGGUCUCCGCGGACGUAAGCUCGGCCGCCCUCGGGCUUUGGCGCCCCACAGACCCGGGCCCCGGGAUGACCACUCCGCCCCAGGUGGACGAAACCUCACCUACGGCGAACAGUGGACAGAGGCCCUAACGGCCGGAAGAUCACUUCUAGAAGCGACAUCAGGAGCGACACGUUCACGUUUGUGCAGUGGGUAAGAGGACAUGAAGUAGACGACCUUGAGGAGGAAGAAAAGAAGGUUCUGUGCCAGACUGGUCAUACUUAGAAGACAUUUUCACAUUAUAACCAUUGUUUUGUGUGUGCAUUUUAUUCCUCAACUACUGUGUAUAUAGUUGACAAUGCUAAGUACCUUUGUCAAAUAUCUAGUCUUUCUAGAUGUUCUGAAGUGCCUGAUACAUGUUAAAAAUAGAGGUAGUAAAAAUACAUUUUGUAAAUAUCUUCGUUGACAUUCAUAGGAAAUGCUGUUUAAUUUGCGGGGAAUGGCCAAACCACCACUUUGAAUAGUAUGCAUUGUGUUUGUGCACUGGUUCAAAGGAAGAGGGAGGAGAAGGAAGUGCAAAGAGCUUUGCCGGUGUGUUUAUGGAGAGGGAAGAUUAACCAUUGUCCUUUAUGUUCCUGCAUUUUGUUUUACUUAGCUGUGUAUAUAGUGUAUAUACUGGACAAAUGAGUCCUAAUUUUCAACAUCUAAUCUUUUCUAGAUGUUAAAGAGGUUGCCAGUGUAUGACAAAAAUAGUAAACUAAUAUGUUUUGUACAUUUUGUGUUAAAAUUCUUAGGAAGAUUGUCUUCUGAAAAUUGGAGCAUUAUAGCCCACUGGGCUGGUGGAGAAAGAAGCGAAGAGUUAGUCUUAGGCUAGAAUGUUCUUAUUUUGAAGACACUUUAGAUUAUAACUGUUACACGUGUGCAGUUUAUUCAAGACUGCUAUGUAUAUAGUGGACACAUUAAGUCCUUAUUUAAAACAUCUAGUCUGUCUAGAUGUUUAGAAGUGCCCAACGUAUGUUAAAUGUAGAGGUAGUAAAAUAUCACUCUGUAAAUAUCUUUUUGCUAAAAUUCAUAGGAAAUAACUCUUGGGAGUGGAAUUGUUAAACCACCUCUGAGCAAUAUAGGCUAUCAUGUAUAUUCAGUGGUUUGGAGGAGGUGGAAGGGAAAGAAUUGGAAAAGGUAAUAUGCUUGUGUGUUCAUACUUGGACAUUUUCAGAUAAAACCAUUUUUUUGUAUGGUCUGUGCAUUUUAUUUUGCUGUGUAUAUAGUGUAUAUAAUGGACAAAUGAGUCCUAGUUUUGCAACAUCUAGUCUCUAGAUGUUAAAGAGGUUGCCAAUGUAUGACAAAGUAGUUAAAUUAGCACAUUCUGUACACAUUGUGUUGAAAUUCAAAGGAAAGCUUUUUUUCUGUAAAUAACUUUUGGAUAUGAAUUUGUUCAACCACCUUUAAGCAUUACACAUGUCUGUACCUGUCUACUGGAUUAGUGGGGGAGAGAAGGAAGUGAGGGAGGGAAUAGUUUAGGCCAAAAUGGUGGUCAUAUUUAGAAAAUACCUCAGAUUAUACCUGUUGUUAGGUGUGUGCAAUUCUAUUUAACAGUGCUAUGUACAUAGUGGACAAGUUAGUUCUCAUGUGAAAUAUCUAGUCUUUCUAGAUACUUAGAAAUGCUUGAUGUAUUUAGAAGUAGAGUAACGCUUCUUGUAAAUAGCUUUUAAAGACUGAUGGGAAAUAUUAUCUAUGGAAAUAGAAUUGCUAAAACCACCUCUCUGAACAGUAUACUUGUU